rnacentral:lncRNA from 1 species
UGGCUCCACCUCUCCUAGACCCCAUUUAAGGGCUGACUGCCAGUAGGGAAGGAUCAUUGCUUGGAGAUUGUUUAUUUUGGAGUUUUUCUGUGAGCCCAGGAUAUGGGUGAGCAUUUCCAUUUAUUUUUUAUUAUCCUUUUCUACCGUGAUAAUCUUUCUAGCUGUAUGAUCUGUAGAUACCAGCCUAACUACGCCCCUCUGUAUAUUUGUUGAUUAUAGAUACAAAUUGCAUUUCACAAUAAUUAGCCUAACCAACUACUGUGAUAUAGAAACCUUUGAUUUCCUUUCUUUUCUCAGAUUGUGACAGCAUAUUUUUCCUGUAAUUGUGUUUUUCAGCAUUUACUGGUAGUCUGCUUACUCUUGUUGAAGCUUUGAUGCUGAUGUUGUGUUGAUCUCCUUAAUGUAUAACUUAUGUGUAAAACUAUACCAGAAGAACAUUAAACUCUAGGAGCCAGAACUUAGGAUAUGUUGAAGUUAUACUUGUCUGUACAACCUUCUCUACGAACUACCAUGAUGAAUUGAAAAUAUUUGUCAAGACUCUAAAUCCCUUUACAACUCUCUCCCUGCCCACUCUUCAGGACUGCCUCUCUACUUGUCCUGUGCCCUGGACCCAAUUUCAUGUCCUGGGACCUUCAGUCUUUGGUCUAGCAAGGCCACAGCUGGGCUGGUGUCCAGCUCCCUGUAACCAAGCCUGAGGGGGAACAGAAAGCUAGCUACACACAGGCCAUUAUUUCUGGAGU